CCAUGGAUUGUUUAUACUAUCUUGAACCCACCCAGUCUCAUCUGAUAUCAGAAACAUUCCUGGGUCAGCCAUGGUUAGUACUUGGAUGGGAAGCCACCAGAGAAGACAAGGGCUUUCUUGGU
rnacentral:rRNA from 1 species